rnacentral:misc_RNA from 1 species
CCGAGUCCCCGCUCCUUGUGAGCGGACCUCCCACCCAUUGUGAUCGCUACGAUCGUUGCUUUGGCGGGCCGUUCGGGUCCAACCCGGCCACCGGCUCUCUGCUGGUGUGCGCCCGCCAGAGGCUACUAAACUCUGAGAUUUAUGUCUGUCUGAGUAUUAUAUAAUCGUUA